rnacentral:rRNA from 1 species
CCUACGGGUGGCAGCAGUGAGGAAUAUUGGUCAAUGGACGCAAGUCUGAACCAGCCAUGCCGCGUGCAGGCUGACGGCUCUAUGAGUUGUACACUGCUUUUGUACGAGGGUAAACCCCGAUACGUGUAUCGGGUUGAAAGUAUCGUACGAAUAAGGAUCGGCUAACUCCGUGCAAGCCGCCGCGGUAAUACGGAGGAUCCUAGCGUUAUCCGUAUUUAUUGGGUUUAAAGGGUUCGUAUGCGGUUUGAUAAGUGAGAGGUGAAAUUUCGGGGCUCAACCCCGAAACUGCCUCUACUAAUGUUGGACUAGAGAAUAGUUGCGGUAGGCGGAAUGUAUGGUGUAGCGGUGAAAUGCGUAGAGAUCAUACAGAACACCGAUUGCGAAGGCAGCUUACCAAACUAUAUCUGACGUUGAGGCACGAAAGCGUGGGUAGCAAACAGGAUUAGAUACCCGAGUAGUC